rnacentral:rRNA from 1 species
GACGAACGCUGGCGGCGUGCUUAACACAUGCAAGUCGAACGGGAACCUUUAUUUCGGUAAAGGUGAGAGUGGCAAACGGGUGAGUAACACGUAGGCAACCUGCCGACAGGAUGGGGACAACAUUCCGAAAGGAAUGCUAAUACCGAAUGGAGUCCGAGGAUGGCAUCAUCCUUGGAUCAAAGAUGGCCUCUGAAUAUGCUAUCGCCUGUCGAUGGGCCUGCGUCUGAUUAGCCAGUUGGCGGGGUAACGGCCCACCAAAGCGACGAUCAGUAGCCGGUCUGAGAGGAUGAACGGCCACAUUGGGACUGAGACACGGCCCAGACUCCUACGGGAGGCAGCAGUGGGGAAUCUUCCACAAUGGGCGAAAGCCUGAUGGAGCAACGCCGCGUGAGUGAAGAAGGUCUUCGGAUCGUAAAGCUCUGUUGCACGGGACGAAAACUG